rnacentral:misc_RNA from 1 species
GAAAUGCGAUAAGUAAUGUGAAUUGCAGAAUUCAGUGAAUCAUCGAAUCUUUGAACGCACAUUGCGCCCGUCAGCAUUCUGGCGGGCAUGCCUGUUCGAGCGUCAUUUCAACCCUCAGGACCCCCCUUUCGCGGGGAGGGACCUGGCGUUGGGGAUCGGCCCGCCCCCCCGCGGCGGCGCCGUCCCCGAAAUCUAGUGGCGGUCUCGCUGCAGCCUCCCCUGCGUAGUAGUUACAACCUCGCAUCGGAGCGCGGCGCGGCCACACCGUAAAACCCCCGACUUUCUGAACGUUGACCUCGGAUCAGGUAGGAAUACCCGCUGAACUUAAGC